rnacentral:rRNA from 1 species
AUUGAACGCUGGCGGCAGGCCUAACACAUGCAAGUCGAGCGAGCGGCGGACGGGUGAGUAAUGUAUGGGGCUCUGCCCGAUGGAGGGGGAUAACUACUGGAAACUGUUGCUAAUACCGCAUACUAUCGGAUGAACCCAAAUGGGAUUAGCUAGUUGGUGGGGUAAAGGCCCACCUAGGCGACGAUCUCUAGCUGGUCUGAGAGGAUGAUCAGCCACACUGGGACUGAGACACGGCCCAGACUCCUAAGGGAGGCAGAAGUGGGGAAUAUUGCACAAUGGGCGCAAGCCUGAUGCAGCCAUGCCGCGUGUAUGAAGAAGGCCUUAGGGUUGUAAAGUACUUUCAGCGGGGAGGCGUUACCCGCAGAAGAAGCACCGGCUAACUCCGUGCCAGCCGCCGCGGUAAUAC